rnacentral:lncRNA from 1 species
AAAAAAAAAAAAAACGAUUUGAACAAAUUAAGUAAAGAUUUAUUUUUGCAUUUAAUGAAAUAACUGAACAACAAAUAUAAUUAUAAAAAUGAUAACUUAGAUGUGCCUUUUUAAAGCAAUAAUUUACUGAAAAGAAAGAAAUUCAUCAUUGCCAAAGAAUUGUGGGAAUGGCACAGGCUUAAAAAUUCACACCCCUUUUUUCUGAUAUUGCUGUGUAACUUGAUGAAAAGUUACUGCAUUUUUUUCAUUUUUUAUUCAUUUAUUGAAAAGUUUAUACCUGCCCAUGUAAUUUUUCCUUUAUUUGAUUAAAAAUUUUAUUUGGAAGUGCGCG